AAGUGAACUGGAAAAGGUUCUUCUCGUGGACAUGUAUUCCUUUCUCUUGUCUUCCAAGCUGUCUCCCAUCCUCCUAUACCAUACGUGCUUUUGAGGAUUUUCUUUAAUGGGUCUUAAAAAUGUGUAAAAAUUAAGUUAAUACCUAUAAGGAGAACAUGAUUCCAAAAUUGAAACAGGAUCUGAAACUGCAUUGCCAGGCAUCGUCUUCCUGGCUGGCCGGGAGGGAGAGUGAAGCAGGCUCAGCUGCAUGCGCCUUCAAGCCCCUGUUCAGACCCAGGGAGAGAGACGGCUUUCCUCCACCACGGUGAAUGGUUACGGGACUUUGUCUUCCAAGACAGGGACUAGGAAGCUGUUUUAAAUGCAGGUUUUCUUAGUAUUUAGGUAUGGUGAGAUCAACACAUCAAGAGACAACUACUAUUGAAAAGAUGAGGCCGGGCGCGGUGGCUCAUGCCUAUAAUCCCAGCACUUUGGGAGGCCGAGGCGGGCAGAUCACCUAAGGUCAGGAGUUCGAGACAAGCCUGACCAACAUGGAGAAACCCCAUCUCUACUAAAAAUGCAAAAUUAGCAGGGUGUGGUGGCACAUGCCUGUAAUCCCAACUACUGAGGAGCCUGAGGCAGGAGAAUCGCUUGAACCCGGGAGGUGGAGGUUUCGGUGAGCCAAGACUGUGCCAUUGUACUCCAGCCUGGUCAACAAGGGUGAAACUCUCCCUCAAAAAAAAAAAAAAUCUCCAAUUCCUCACAGUUCCCAAGAAAACAGGGCACACCAUACCAUGCAGGGCCACAUGGAGAAGCACCAGGUUUGGUCAGGAGCCAGCGGGAGGUAGAAGGAAAUGUGGGCAAAUGCUCUUACUGUGUUUCCCAUGAGAAAGAAUGAGUGAGGUCAGGUACGCAGGCUUAGGAUUGCUAGUUUGAAUAAUUCAGAGGGCUCAGGAUAGAGCAGCUGUCCUGAGCUGUCUAGUACCUGGCCUUGGGGUGUUUAUGGUGGGAAAUAGUAGCCUGGAGUGUGAGAGCCCACUUCCACUUAAAGGUGGUUGUGGGGUGGGGAGACGCUGGGUUGGUUAGUUUGCAUAUGAAAAGCACGCUUCCAGGUGAUUCAUACACUGCCUCUGAGAAGUGGCCAGCCCUGAGAGAGACAGUCCCUUUAGUGUCAGCAAAGCCCCAAGAUACAGAAUUACAGAAAAUUGGCCCGUCAUGGUGGCUCACGCCUGUAAAUCCCAGCACUUUGGGAGGCCAAGGCAGGCCAGACACGUGAGACCAGGAGUUCGAGACCAGCCUGGCCAAUAUGGCUAAUACAAAAAUUAGCCAGGCACAGUGGUAUAUACCUGUAAUCCCUGAUAAUGGGGAGGCUGAGACACAAGCAUUUGCCUGAACCUGGGAGGCAGAGGUUGCGGUGAGCUGAGAUCACACCAUUGCACUACAGAGGCAACAGAGUGGGACUGUCUCAAUAAUAAUAAUUACAGAAAAUCAGAAGGUGUAAUUAAUACAAAGGCCACCUAGCAUUCCUGGCUGAAGGGAUGGCGCAUGCUGGAGAGAAUGCGUGCCCUUUCCACCUCUUAGGUGAGUAAGUUAAUAUUCAUUAGUAGAGACCUGAGCCGUGACAAAAGCAGGACAUGUAGAGCCUCACGUUCAGAUGGAAACGGGUCUCCUGAGCAUCUUUCCAGCACUCUGGCCUCUUUCUGCUCUCCACCAUACCACUUACCUCCUGCGGGUGGAAAAGCUCAGCUUUCCUGGAUUUCUGGGUCCCAGGUGCCUCUGAGGCCUGAGCAGAGGGCUAGAAACCAACACCCUUGAGUGCGUUAGGGUCUGAGGGCAACCUGAUGGUCCAGAGGUGGCUGGCCCAAAGAAGACUGGGGGUGACUGUGUUUGGCCCGUCCGAGAAGGAAAAGCAAUGGACUUGCUCUUGUGGCUACAGGAGCACCCACUCUGGGGUGUCGCUGUGCAAAUGCCUUGUUCUGAAUAGGCCUUGCAACCCGCUUCAACCUUCUAAUAACUUAAAAAAGAAAUCAGUGUCACUAAUGAGUUUAAUUGAAACAGGAGGGAGAGAUUUUAAAAAGUUCUGGGGGCAUGAACAUGUUAAUUAGAUUGAUUCUUCCUGGAAAGGGCAGAAGGAAGAAACUUCCUCUCCCUAAAUCUAAUUUCAUUUCAUUGAACUAUGGGAAGAAGUUAGCUCUCCAGUCACUGGCGAAAGGCAAGCAAAGCAAGACCCUGAGGUUAAUGAGGGGAUGUCAGUGCAGCUCAGAUGCCUGGCACUGCCGGUUGUUGGCAUUAACGUAUAGGGAGCCCAGUGGCAGCAACUGACACAAGCUAAGCCGGAAAACCCGCGUGCGGUUUGAGCUCUGUGCACCUUUUACACUAGCAUGCUGCUUUGGAAAUGCCAGGUGUUCAAGCUACAAGGAACAAGACUGAGUGUCCACCGUGCUGAGAUUUCCCCUUUGACUGUGGACAAGACGGGGGCCAUUGUUACCAUGACAAGAUGUGCUGCGGAUUAAGGGGGAGGAAGACUGUGUUCCUUAUUGUCUCGUUCCCUUCUCUGGAGAAGCCCAAAGAACCACACAAGACAUCUGAAGAUUGAAGGGGCCGCCAUCAUUCAAUCACAGCAUCAGACUCUGCACGGCUAUGACCCAAUCUGUUUUGACGAUUCCCUCGGGUAGUUCCAUUGAAUAUGCUUUGGAGCGUAUUCCCUCUCUCUAUACCUGACUCCUGAGAAUAUCGCAAAUACAAAUCAAGCUUCUUGCCAGUUACGGUUUCUCAUUUUGUUGGCUUGUUCAAUAUUUGUUGAGCACCUGUUAUGUAACAGGAAAUGGUCUGAGUGUUCGUCUCCUAACACCAAAUCCGCAUCCUUUGGUUCUUGGAGUUUGACUAAUGGAGCUGAGGGAACAAAAAUUGGAGAAUGACAUAGUUUCACGCAUGCUCUGCACAGCAAGGGACGAGGCCGUGACUGGGACAACGAUUUGGUGGUGAAAGGGCUUCUCUUUUCUACAUUACUGUUUUGUAGUAACUUAUGCUCCCCAAUUGUGGUGGACACUGCGAUGCAACACCCAGAUCUCCCUUUAGGAACAAUGGAUUUGUAAACUCAGCUGCCACUGGCAGACGACUUCGGCUGUCCGCUCCCUGAGGGAGCUGUGUUGGCUGAGAGCCAGCUAUCGCAAGGUCAUCACAUGCCCGGCAGCUCAUCUAAUACCUGAUCAAUGCAUAAACAUCAAAGUCCAUCCCCUCACCUCAAUUCGGAACAGCUGUGAAAAAUCACCCCAUCUUCAGAACUAGGUAGGCUGAGGCCUCUGUGGGGACAGCAUCGCAGCUCAACUUUCCCUUUGCCCAAUCCUACCUUCUUCCUUUCCUUCCCAUCCACAGUUGUUGAUUCCAAGAGCACCCCCAACAACCCUCUUGCACACCAGUCUCCAACUCAGAGCUAGCUUUCUGGUGAACCCAUCCUGUGAAAACUGAAAAAAAAAAAUGAAUUUAAAGAGGCUCAAAUUUAUGUUGAACUUACAACAGGAGACAUGUAUAGUUCAUAUUCAGCAUUCAUUGAGGGGGGCUUCACUAAGGCUCUGCAAACUCACGGUACACCCCAGGAUCGCACUGGGGGUCCCGAGGAGCCUGCUCUUCUUAGCCUCGUUUCCUUCUUUUUUUUUUUUUUUUUUUGAGACAGAGUCUUGCUCUGUCACCAAGGCUGGAGUGCAGUGGCACAAUCUCAGCUCACUGCAACCUCUGCCUCCUGGGUUCACACAAUUCUCCUGCCUCAGCCUCCUGAGUAGCUGUAACUACAGGCGCAUGUCACCACCACCCUAAUUUUUUUUUUUUUUUUUUUUUUUAGUAGAGACGGAGUUUCACUAUGUUAGCCAGGAUGGUCUCGAUCUGCUGACCUCAUGAACCACCCGCCUCGGCCUCCCAAAGUGCUGGGAUUACAGUCGUGAGCACUGCGCCCAGCUGCCUCUUGGCAUUUCCUGGCCUGAGGAUUUUACAAAAAGGGUACAGAUGAGGGUGCACUUUUUGGAGAAGAUCUUCUCCUGAAGCCUCCUUGGUGAGCAAACAGAUUUUCCAUUAGCAGAAGCUGCACAGUUAGAUUCUGGAAACAUCCAGGAGUUUCCUUUCACCUCCUCAGUGCUGCUGCCAUCUCGGACACUCUCUCAGAGGUGGGCAGUGCUCUCUUCAUUCAAUGUUAGCAGAUAUUUACAGAGCGUCUGCUAUAUGCCAAACACCAGCCUAUAAACCUCUCUUCUCCCUAGAAAUCACACCUGGUCCCAUAUUACCAGAGACCUGUCGGACCAGGUACUGGAUUUUACAAAAAGGGUACAGAUGAGCCUAGGAGAAAAUUCAGGAGCCUGUCAAAAAUUUGGUCAAGCAAAGAAUCUGUCAGAAUCCAGCUGCUAUGCUAUGAGAAUCCCAGGUGAGCCAUCUGGAGGGAAACUGGGCCAUCUUGCCGGAGAGCUCCAGCUGAGCUCCUGGCUGACUGCACCACCUGCCAGCCAGGUGAAAGAGGCCUUUUUCCCAAGGCCAUUUAGGCCCCAUCAAAGUGAUGCCACAAGCAGCAGCAAUAAGCCUCCCCCGCCGAGUCUGGGCCAAACUACAGCCUUGUGAGCAAGUAAAUGGCUGCUGUUCUCUAUGCGAUGUCAUCCAGCAGUCAAUAGUGGAAGAGAACAUUAUGUAGAAGCUGCGGUUCAGAUGAAGAGAUGGGACAUACCACAACUGCCAAGUUUCUUUUGGGCCGACUGUGAGGCAGAUACCAGGCGGGCUUUGUUGGAAGGGAGCCACAGAUGCAACGGAGAGCACGACACACGGUGUUGAGGAGGGAAAUACCUGGCAAUAAGGAGCCAAAGCGGAAAAUUAGGGUUAAGUCAUCCUGUAAGCAAGAAAACAUUUCAGCAUUUGCUGUUUCAGAACAGGAAGUUUUAUCAUUUUAAGUAAUUAACUUGGAUCUGGUUCUUUUUUAUUUGAAACUUCACUUGUAUUACAUGUUGUUUAUUGUCGAAAAAUCAUUGAAAGCAUGUUACGUUAAACAAAAAGAAUGUCUUUGCAGAUAAUUCAGUAAUUAGUAAGUCAUAUGCACUAUAUUUGCUUCUCUUGGUUACGAUUCCUUGAAACCUCAUCUUCCAUGCCACAAACAUCAAGUUCUCUAUUUUCAGUUGAGUACCAGUUACCUGCGGCCAGCAACUGUCUCAGACUGGCCUUGAAAAGUGCCUGUCACUGGGUGGGCUAUCAGUAAAUAUUUAGACAAUUGAACCACACUGACCUCGUGAAUAAAUAUAAUGUGGGUUACCACUGUCCUAAGGGAUUUCAGAAAGCCAGUAUUUUUCUUAUGGAGCGGCUAGAAAUAAACUGGCCAUUUUAAAUAGCUCUAUUAACUGAGAUCACUUGUGAGAAGGAGUUGACACCAACUUUGAAGUGCCCAACUUCUGUCCUUAGAGACAGAAUUAUCCUGCCUCAGCCUCCCGAGUAGCUGGGAUUACACGUACCUGCCACCAUGCCCAAGUAAUUUUUGGAUUUUAGUGCAGAUGGGGUUUCAACACGUUGGCCAGGCUGGUCUCAAACUUCUGACCUCAACAGUCCACCUGCUUUGGCCUCCCAAAGUGUUGGGAUUCCAGGCAUUAGCCACAGUGCCAGGCCUCUUUGUUUUUUUAAUCCUUGUUAACAGCUUUACUGAGGUAGAGUUUAUAUAAAUAACAUUCACCCACUUUAAAUAUAGUUUGAUGAAUUUUAGUAAAUUCAUCUGAUUGUGCAAGCACCACCACCAUCCAGUUUCUUUCUAACACUUCCGUCACCGAAAAAGGUCCAUCCUGCCCGUUUUUAGUCAAAAAAGUAGAUAUCUUUGAUGUCUCUGACUAUGGGUCUCCUUUCGGUCUGUAGAGUUGUGCCUUCUUAUUUUUUUUUUGGUAGAAAUUUCAUAUACGUUUUAAUCAUAUAGUAGGUGUCUUUGUGUCUGGCUUCAUGGAAAAAUCCUUUUGCUGAUUUCCUGCCACUUCUCUUGUCCUUGAUCCUGUCUGGUCAUACUGGCAAACGUGGGGACGUGGCCACAGGCAGGAGCUGGUGAUGAGAGUGAGGAUCCUGAGUCUGCCGCUCUCUGCCUGUGGACCACGAGCAAGUCACGGUUCUGUACUCCACUUCCCCUGCCAGGAGCGUCAGGGACAUCACACUUUCUCAGUCCAGAAAGACCUCAAAUUCAAAAGACUGGUCAGGUUCCCACGACAGGUAAUACAAUACUGAAGUAGCUCCUUAUCAACUGGUAAUAGCCACUGUGAGGAACACCUGCAGGCCCCUCCCCUACCAGCCCAGCAAACUCACUCUUCCCACCAGGACCCCUUAGACCUUUCUGUAAUCAACCUCCCACCACCAAAAAGGAGUAAAGCCUGGUACAGCAGGGGCCUGGGUCUGGCCACACCCUUAGCCCCUGCGCUGUGGUUAGUGUCCUUUCUGAUAGUUUACUGCCCACACCACACCCGAUGUUCACUAUUAGGAAUAGAUCCUCUGUUUACAGGAGGCAGGAGGGUGGAGUGAGAAAGUGGAGGGGAGGGGAAUUUGGAGUUGGGGCUUUGAAAGAAGGGUCUAAAAUCAGACUGGAACCAAUAUGCUAAAAUGUAUUCAGAAAAAACAAAGUCUUACAUUUAGGUUUUAAAAAGGGAAUAUUUCUGUGAUUGCAUGGAUAGAAAAUUUUUUUUUUAAAGGGGCAUAUUAAUAGAGUAGGGUGACGUGGGGAUUCUGGCCAAAGGCAAGCUCUCUGUGAGCUCUUAACAAUAUGGCAGAACAUUUGCUAAGAGGUGAGUAACAGACCAAAUACUUACUUCCCUGAGACGCUUGGCCAGGGGCCUGUGAGCCCUCAGCUGGGCACCAGUGCAUACAUGGCUCUGCAUUCAGAGCACAAAAGGAAACUACUGGGCCUGUUCGGGGCUGCAAGCACACCUGAGUCUGGCCUCAAUGAUGGUGUAACAAGCAACGAAGUAGCACAAAGAAUUUUCCCCAUCCCCCGUCGAAUCAGACUGAGCUGGAGUAAUGAUCACGGUCCCCAGCAGAAGGACCUAAUGGCUAGAAACCCACUGGACUGUGCUGGGGACCACCUGGUGCUGUUAAGAGACCUGUGUAUGUUUAACUUAAGAAAGGGAAGAAGGCCGGGCACCGUGGCUCAUGCCUGUAAUCCCAGCACUCUGGGAGGCCAAGGUGGGUGGAUCACUUGAGGUCAGGAGUUUGAGACCAGCCUGGCCAACAUGGUGAAACCCCAUCUCUACUAAAAAUACAAAAAAAAAAAAAAAAAAAAAAAAAUAGCUGGGCAUGGUGGCAGGCACCUGUAAUCCCAGCUACUUGAGAGGCUGAGACAGGAGAGGUGUUUGAAAUUGGGAGGUGGAGGUUGCAGUGAGCUGAGAUCACACAAUUGCUAAAGAUAAAGGAGAAGAAAGUGACUUAUAAAAUUUGUUAUACAUGCUUAUGAAAGUAUGUAUGAUCAUGUAUGCAUAAUUAUGUCUUAUCUUUGUCAGUGUUGAAAUUUUGGAGAUAUUAGCUGAAACAUUUUCUGAAAACCUUUGAAGACUUGAAUUAAGCCAGCUGGUGUUUUUCUGCCUGUUUUUAUAUUCUGGCCGCAUUGGCAGCUGAUUAGAUGGUGCCCACCCAGAUUAAGGGUGGGUCUGCCUUUCCCAGCCCACUGACUCAAAUGUUAAUCUGUUUCGGCAACACCCUCCCAGACACGUCCAGGAUCAAUACUUUGCAUCCUUCAGUUCAAUCAAGUUGACAGUAUUAACCAUCACACCAGUCCACUGAAGAAAAACUGAAAAUGCUGGAUAGACGAUUUUCAAACUCAUAAAAAUACACUGAUGCAUGGACCAUUUAGUAAAAGAUACUAAGGGUCUUAGACAUGCAGAGAGGUAACCGUAGGCUGAAUCUAGUUUCUGCUUUGAAGAUAUUUAGCAAAUCAGAUUUGUCCUUCAAAUUUCACAGCAUCAAGAGAAAAAGCCUAAGGAGGAGUCCCAUCGAUCUUAAUGGAAUCUAGAAAUAAUAAAACCCAAGUGACUUCAUUAACAAAAUAUCUAUUCCAAACUGCGGUGCAGAUGGAAGGGGAAAAUCAUCUAACUUUCCUAAGAAUUUCUAACCACAAAUUGGCCCUCAUACAUGUUUGCUGUCUGAAUUCAUUCUAACUGGGUGUUAAACAAAACAAAAAAACCUCAACCUAUGAAUUUAGUUUAAAGUUGCCUUGGGCAGAUAGUGCCAUAGACAUCUGGUAUAAGCAAUUGCAAAUCCUCUCUGGAGAAACUCACCUUUGGCUUAGGCUUUAAAGUGUUCCCAUACACAAAGCUCCAAGAAUUAUGAAUGUAUACAGCCAAAAUUAUGGAAAUAACAUAAGAAAAUAAGUCACCAUUUGUGAGAUCUAGCGGGAAUAACACAGGGUAGAAUCAGGCUUCAGAGAUGGGAAAGAUAAACAGAGUGUUCAAUAAUUCAAUGUACUGGGUUUAAAUCAUUAAGAGAUGGAAAAUAUAGAGAAAAGGAACUAUGACACAUAGUCAAAUAUAUUUUAAAAAGAGCAAAAUAUAUAAUGUUACAAACUUUCAUGAUGACUUUAACAAUUGAUUAAAUACAGCUGCACUGAGCGUGAGUGAAUUAAAAGAUGGAUCAUUAAAAAUCAUACGGCAUGCAGCACAAAGUGGUGGAGAGGACGAACAGUACUGAAGAGGCUUAGAGUGAGACAGAUGAAUCUAUGUCUUAGUCCCAGGAGAAAGGCGGAGAGAGAUGGUUAGGGUGAAGGAGGGAGUGGAGAGAGAGAGAUACUAAAGAGUAAAGAGCUGAGACUUUUCUAGAGCUGAUGAGAGAGAGCAAAUCACAGAUUCAGGUAGCCCCAUGAAUCUUAAGCAGGAUUUAAAAAAAACAAAAACACCGACUCUAGGCAUAUUGUACUGAAACUGCAGAACUCCAAAAGACAGAGAAAAAAUCCUUAAAGCAGCCAGAGCAAAACCACAGAGACCUACAAGGGAGUUGCAGAGACAAAGAGCUGACUUCUCAACAGCAGCAGAGGAAUUCAGGCAGUUCUGAGGGAAAAAUAAUCUCAGACUUCUGAGGGGAAAUAGCUGUCACCGUAAAAGUCAGUAUCUGGCAACAUGAUAUGUCGAGAGCAAAGGUGAAAUAAAGAACUUUCAGACAAAUGGUGACUUUCCCUCCACCAGGCCUCGAAUAAAGCGGAUUUUGAAGGAUGCACUUUUCCUAGAGUAAGAGUAAACCCAGAUGGAAUUUCUGAAAUGCAAGAAGAAUUAGAUGAGCAAAACAAUGACAAUUAUACAGGAAAAUCUAAACAAAUAUUACUAGAUGAAAAAAUAAUGGUCAUAUUUUGUGAAUUAAAAAUACAUUUGGGCAGGGUGCAGUGACUCAUGCCUGUAAUCCCAGCAUUUUGGGAGGCAGAGGCGGGUGGAUCACAGGUCAGGAAUUCAAGACCAACCUGGCCAAGAUGGUGAAACCCCAUCUCAACUAAAAAUAAAAAAAUUAUCCUGGGCAUGGCGGCACACACCUGUAAUCCCAGAUACUUGGGAGGCUGAGACAGGAGAAUCCCUUGAACCCCGGAGGCGGAGGUUGCAGUAAGCUGAGAUGGCACCAUUGCACUCCGAUCUGGGCAACAGGGUGAGACUCAGUCUCAAAAUAAAUGAAUAAAUAAAUAAAUAAUAGACUUAAAAUACAUGAUAACAAUAGUAUGUAACUUGGAAUGGGACGGACAGUUCUAAAAUAUUCUAUGGUUUUAAUGUUAUGUGCAAGGACUGUAAAUGUAUUAAUUUUUACUUUAAAAAUCAUGUAUGCAUAUUGAUAGCUCUAGGAUUAAAAAAAACAAAACAAGAUGAAUGUAUAAUUUCCAAGUUAAUAAGAAAAACUGAACAACAGAAAAAACUAUCAAGCAAAAAGCAGAGAGGAAAGAAAAAAUAAACAUACAGAAGCAAGAAAAAUAACAUGAAGGAAAUCCAACUAUAUCAGUAAUUACGGUAAGUAAAAAUAGCUAAAUGUUCUAUGGACACAGUCUAAAACAUGCAAGAUGAUGAAUGAAAUGGAUGAAAAUAGCUAGGUGAAGCAAACACUACGAAAGAUAGCAGAUGCAUUCAUAAUAAUAUUAGAUAAAAUAAACUUCAGUAGAGCCAAAAAUUGCAAGAGAUGAAAGUCACUACACAAUAAUAUAAGGAAUCCAUUCACCAAGAGCAGAUAACUCUUAAUCAAUAUUCAAUAGUCACAUAGUCUCAAAAUACAUUAAAAAAAAUGAAAAUAAGAAGAACCAGACAGAUCCGCCAUCAGAAUGGAAGACUUAAACAUAUCUCUUCAUAAUUUUUAAAUCAAGCAGGCUAAAAAUCAGUAAGGACAUAGAAGUUUAAAUAACAUAACUAACAUAUUGAUGUGAUGGAUGUACAUAGAACACUACAUCCCCAAAUAGAGAAAUUCAUAUAUUUUUCAAGCACAUAUUAAAAAGUUAUUAAUAUUUAAUAAAGGGGCAUAAAGCAAUCCUCAGCAAAUUUCAAAAGAUGGCUACUAUAUAGCACAUUUUCCACCUACAAUGCAAUUAGAUUUAAAAGUGAAUUACAAAAAAAAUGUUACAUAAACCAUGUGUAUUUAGAAUUUAGGAAACAUUUCAACUUAUGGACCAAGAGUAAUCACAGUGGGAAUCAGAUAUAAACUAUAAUUAAACAAAAUUCACAGGAUGACUCUUAAGCCUUACUUGGAGGGAAAUUUAUAGCUUUGAAAUGAUUCUUAUUUUAAAAGCUACAAAGUAACAAGGACAUAUAUAACUAGGUUAAAAUGAAAUGGUUAUUAAUGUAUCAACAUUUUGUGAACAAAAUUUACAAGCUAUUUGGGAAAUAAAUAUAAUCUCCUUAUUCUGUGUAGACACCUAGAUUUAGCUAUGCCUACCGUUAGUGUAGUAAAUGCUAUGUAUCAGACCUGGUGCUGAGAUACAACAUCUAUGUAAUUUAGGAGUGUAGACCCAGAGGGGAAAAGAGAACGAAGAAAAUAAACUUUAAAAGCUACACUAUGUAUUUGUAUUAUUAAGUUUGUAAGAAGAUGGCUGUAAAUAUUUACAGUUUGAACUUAUUUUACUAGACCUAGAGCUUUUAAAGAACUGAGUUUGUGCUUUAGCGUAGGUUAUAAAAGUCUUCUUCCGCGGUGGCUCAAGCCUGUAAUCCCAGCACUUUGGGAGGCCGAGGCGGGUGGAUCACGAGGUCAAGAGAUCGAGACCAUCCUGGUCAACAUGGAGAAACCCCGUCUCUACUAAAAAUAUAAAAAAUUAGCUGGGCAUGGUGGCGCGUGCCUGUAAUCCCAGCUACUCAGGAGGCUGAGGCAGGAGAAUUGCCUGAACCCAGGAGGAGGAGGUUGCGGUGAGCGGAGAUCGCGCCAUUGCACUCCAGCCUGGGUAACAAGAGCGAAACUCUGUCUGAAAAAAAAAAAAAAAAAAAGUCUUCUACCAUAAUUUAGUGAUGUCAGCUCGUUAAGAAAAGAUGCUGUCAUCGGGGUGAUAUAGAAUAUUAAAUAGCUACUGUUUGCAAGACACUGUGCAGAUGCUAUGUUCUGUGGGGUAGGAAAGGGAGAGAGGACAAGAGAUUUUGAAGAGCCAUUUGGGAAUGGUAGGCUUUAGCUUUAACACAUAGCCUAACUCUUAAAAACUCCUCAACUAUCCCAAACAACCACCGUAAAAUCGCUAUUAACUACUAUAAACUAUUCAAAGAUUUUUUAAUUUUGUUGUUAAGAAUGGUGUAAAAAGGUAGCCCUUCCACUGCUAAUAGCAGUAUAAAUCAGUACAAUUCAGACUGGGGCCAUUUAUAACUGUAUGUUAUUAAAGACUUAAAAUGUUAUACAUUUUUUAGCCCAGCACUUGUGCAUUUAGAACUUUAUCCCAAAGAACUAAUUACUAGUGUGCAAGCAUUUAGCUGUAACAGCAGAGAUUCACGAGAGUAAAAACCUAGGGACAAUUAAAAAGUCUAAAAAGAGGAUAUUAAAUUAUGAUAAUACCAGCAUUAAAAUAAUACCACAGAAGAAUAUUUAAUGACAUGCUUCAUAAUAUUAAGUGAAAUGAGCAAGUUACAGAGCAGUCUAAUCUACUUUUUGUGCAUAUAAAAAAUUGCUGAAAGAACGGAAACCCGUGCAUUAUUAUUGCUCAUUAUUGCUACCUGUUAAAAUUAUGGAAAAGUUUUUCUUUAUUGUUUAAAUUAUCUGUACUAUUCAUGUGAUUGCAAAGGAAACAAUAAUAUGUGUCUAUUUUAAAGGUGUUAACUCUUUCUAGUGUUUUCCUACAUUCUCCAGUUUCUUUUGUUCUGCUUGCACAGCCCUUUGGAACAGGUGUGGCAUUAAACCAAGGAUGCCUUUUUGAAUUCUAAGGUCUACUGUACAGUCUGUGGGGUGUCUAUGGUGCUUGAAUGUUCAAUAACUAUUGGAAGAUGAGCAUUGUUUCUUUUUCCAGUUAGAAAUAUCAUUCUGAGUUUGUAAAAAGAUGGAGAUAUUUUCGUAGAACUCAAUGCAUGAAUCAGGGUUAAUUAGCAAUGCUUCAAAUUAUAGACCACUGCUGCUGCUUGUGCAACUAACCAUCAAUUAGCUAUGCUAAUGAGAAAAGCAGGAAAUGAUUGCAGGAGAAAAUGAAAUCAGGAGGGAGAAAAGAAAAAUAACUCAUUUUAAUGUCUAGUUUCAGCCAUCAAUUGUCAAAACUUACCAGAAUGACAUAUAAAUAUAAAUUCUAACCUUUUUUUUUGAAAGAGACAGUGAAUUAAUAAGAAAAUAAUGUUAUUUCUUUAGUUUUUCCCUUUUCUUGAUUAUCCUUCAGAGACACCAUACCCUAAUAAUAAAGUGACCAAAAUAUGAGCAGCAGAAAACUUAUAGACAAAACGUUAAUCAGUGGUUCUAAUGUAAUCCCUAAGGGAACUCUUUAAAAAAAAAAAAACAAUGUAGAGGUCUUACUUUAGACUGUUUAAAUCAGAAUCUCUGUAGAAGGUGCUAAUUAAUCCAUAAGAUGCAUAAUGAAUUUCAAGUUGAUUCCAGAUGCUGAAUAAGAGUUCUCUUUUUGGACAGGAAGGGGCUCUGAUAACCACCUCUGCUUCUUUCAUCCCUAUCUCCAUACCUAUCUCCAUUUUUAGGUAGGAGAACUUUUCCAAUGAGACAGUCUUAGAGAUGUCUCCUUCCUGAUACAAGAUCUUUAAAUACCUUCCUACUGGCUCUCUUCCCUGUUAAGAACUUGGAUGAUUUUCUCGAAGAGAAAACUUUAUAUGAGGGAAUGCAGGAUACCUAAGUAGUAUCUACCUAGUGCCAUGAUAAAUAUUUGGAUGCGAAGAAAACAGGAAAUAAAUCUUUGAAUGGCGAUUGCAGCUCCCCAGAGAGCUCCGGAUGACAGGCUCUUGGAAAGUGCUCCAACCUCUGUUUGUUCUCCAGUCCUGAGAACGGUAAUCUUUGUGGCUAUACUUUUCUUCUUCUUCCCCUAGAUUUAACUUUUACAGGUUAAAAAAGUAUAAUAGCUUGCAUUAUGUGCUUACUGCACAAAGUUUUAAGGUAAAAGAAUUACAAAUAACAAAAUUAAAAUAAUCUGUGAGCCUCCCUCUUCCCUACUCCAGAGAAACAUAUCAAUGUCAUUAGCGUAUAUCUUCCAUGUUUUCUCUGUGUGGAAACAUUUAUUUUACAGAACUGAGUCAUGAUACGUGUAUACUUUUGUAACUUGCUUUUUAAUCUUAACCUUAUGUUUUGAGAACUUUUCUGGAUCAUGAAUCUUCAAAAUCAAGAUUUCUAUGUAUGCCGCAAAGCCCAUCAUAGAGAUUUACUAUCAUUUAUUUAACCAUCCCUCUACAUUAGAUCUCGAUUAUUACUUCUGAAAUCUGCCUUGUUUUAUCUUUUUCCACUAUUUAUCAGAAAACAGGAUCAGCCCUGGUAAGUUCCUACCAAUUACUUUCCCUAACUGGUGCUUGACAUUGUGUCCAAUAAUUUCCCAGAGUCACGGAUGAUAAUUACGGAUACUGAACCCUUUUGCCCUCCUUUGCUACAUAUGCUUUUCUCCAGGUUUUGUACCAGCACUUGCUUCACCGGUGAUACUGCUUUUCCUCUUUUAGCCUAAGCCACACUCCUCAGAAAUACUGAAGUUUACCUCACUGUCUUCCAAAUAUAUAUGUAGGGAAGAUUCAUCAUUUCGGUAGCUAACUUAUGCUGAGCGUUACGGUAUAUACAACAGGUUCAUAUGAUUUAUUGUUUGACCUUUAUGAUAACACAAGGUAAAUACUACUAUCAUUCCCAUUUUACAGUCAAGGAAAGUAAUAUCACACACAGCUAGGAACAGGCAAAGCUGGGCCCUGAACCCAGAGCUGCUGAGAAAUGCUGAGUGUAUGAUAAAAUAUAUUAUUUGCUGAGAAUGAUGGCAAGGAAAGCCUAGCCUCCCCCGUGCAAGUGGGAAACAGAUUGGGGCGUUCUAAAGUAGCAAAACAGUAUAUGUAUACCAUACACCAGUUAAAACAAUUAUGUAAGCAUGGGAUAUGUGACCCGCCCCCGUGGCUCCCUCGUGGAGAAUGCUUUCUGGUCGGUCCUGGAUCAGUGGUAAGCAGGCAGCAGCUGCCUACCUAGUUUGUCUUGGUUCUAUGAGAAAACACAGAACACCUGUUUGUUAAUAACAAUCACCUGUUCAGACAGAACAACUACACGGGUCAGAAUCUGCUUGAGGCUGUCAGCCUGGCGGAAUGCCGUCAGCCCCUGAGGCUCAGCUCAGAAGGCCGUUGGUCCCUGGAUAGUCCCACUUUGCUGUUCUCUGGGUGUCUGCUUCUCAAUGCCUUCAGCACCACCUGGGUGGGGGACUCUACGGCUGAGCUGGUCUCGGUACAGAAGUGUUUUCUUCUAAACCAUUUUUUCAUUGUUAUUAACUCAAGUCCUUAUUUAUUCAAAUUUUCUUAAUGUUUUAUCUAAUGGCCUUCUUCUGUUCCAUCAUCCCAUCUAGAACAUUAGAUUUCUUCAUCAUGUCUCAUUAGGUUUCUCUUGGCUAUGACAAUCUCUUAGACUUCACUUGUUUUCUCUAAUAGACUCACCAUAGCAGCUAUAAUUCAUUGUGCAUUACUAUGUAUGGCUCUGAUCUUCCAAAACAGUUGUUAUAAUCCUCAUUUUAUAGAUAAGAAAAUUGAGGCUUGGGAGGAUGACAGCUAAUGGUGCAGGUCACAAAGCUGGAACUGGGGUCCUGACCCAGGACUCUCUGACCAUGAGUGCCAUGUUCUUUUCACUACUCUGGUUUAGAUGACUUAUGCAUCUGUGCUUUUGUAAAUCAAUCUGAAUGCUAAUGCCAGAGUCAGGGUGCCAUAAACAAGAUCUACAUGUGGUUCAAAUUUCUUAUCUAAUAUCCAACCACUUUCUAUAGAUUAUCCAACAAAAGGUUCUAGGCAUAUAGUCAAAAGGUAUCAGUGUAGUUUGUACAUUUUUUCAGAAAGCAUUGCCAAAUUUUGAACAGUCUUGAAUAUUAGAAAGCUCUGUGUUCCUGCGGCUGAUUUUUAUCCUUCGGUCUUAAUGUGGCUCUUAGGAGCCAACACAAUAAUCUAAACCAUCUACCUAAGUACCCUGCAGCCAGGCACAUCUCCCUUACACUCUCUUUACCUGGCAGAGUAUGGCUUAGUUUGUAUUUCCCUUAGCAUCCUAAUGAUGCUACUUUAAAUCACAGUGACCUGCAAUAUCUCUGUUUAGUUCCAAUUCCUUAUAGUGCAUUAUGGUACAUUAAGGCGUAUGUCCUAUACAAUCAGGAUUCAAUAAUUGCUGUUGACUUACUCCUUGCUUAAAGGCAACCACUUACCACCAUCACCAUCCCUCUCCCCUCCCCUCUCCUCCCCUCCCCACUCAUUAUACUUCUAAGUCUUCAAGUCCAAAAGGUCCUGACACUCACACUUCUUGCAACCCUUUAAAUGAGGCAGCUCUCCCUAGAAAACCCCCUGAGACACAAGUUUGGAAGGUGAGUCAAGUGUAACAGGGAUGUUUUCUCUGAGUCUGACAAACAAGUUAAAGGGCAAAAGCAGUGAGCCGUAGAAGCCUGGAGACAGUUUCUUUCUUCCUGAAUCCCCCACAGCGCAGAGACAGACAGGAUCUGCCAGGACGGCGCUCUGGGCGGGGCGGGGACCCGCGCGCCAGGAAAGGGGAGGGCAUCGAGUAGCUGGUUUUGUUGAGGACUGAGGCUCAGCGACGCCACGGCCAGCAGCCCUCGCAUCCUUUCCAGCGGCAGGUACUCAAAGCUAAUCAGACAGCGAAAACAGCAGGAGAGGGAGUCAAAUACUGUAGAAGAGUCCGUGCCAAAGUUGUUCAGGGCCUUUCGCGCAGGUGCCUGGUCGUCGUCGUCAGCACCAUGGACAGCACCCGCGGCCCGACGCCAGGGCACUUGGACGCCGCUGGCUUCUGGGAGGUCUGGCAGCGCUUUGACGCGGAUGAAAAAGGUUACAUAGAAGAGAAGGAACUUGAUGCUUUCUUUCUCCACAUGUUGAUGAAACUGGGUACUGAUGACACAGUCAUGGAAGCAACUGUGUACAAGGUGAAACAGCAGCUGAUGACCACCCACGAUGCCUCGAAAGAUGGUCGUGUUCAGAUGAAAGAGCUUGCUGGUAUGUUCUUAUCUGAGGAUGAAAACUUUCUUCUGUUCUUUCGCCGGGAAACCCCAUUGGACAGCAGCGUGGAGUUUAUGCAGAUUUGGCGCAGAUAUGACGCCGACAGCAGCGGCUUUAUAUCAGCUGCUGAGCUCCGCAACUUCCUCCGAGACCUCUUCCUUCACCACAAAAAGGCCAUUUCUGAGGCUAAACUGGAAGAAUACACUGGCACCAUGAUGAAGAUUUUUGACAGAAAUAAAGAUGGCCGGUUGGAUCUAAAUGACUUAGCCAGGAUUCUGGCUCUUCAGGAAAACUUCCUUCUCCAAUUUAAAAUGGAUGCUUGUUCUACUGAAGAAAGGAAAAGGGACUUUGAGAAAAUCUUUGCCCACUAUGACGUUAGUAAAACGGGAGCCCUAGAAGGCCCAGAAGUGGAUGGGUUUGUCAAAGACAUGAUGGAGCUUGUCCAGGAGACAGAGCUGCGGGGCAGGGGCUAGAAGCAGCACCUGGACGCGAAGCACCACCAAUUACUCCGAGGCUGCGUAUAUAAACGUCCCCGAGGGAAAGAAAGCCAGUGCCAAAGCCCCAUCCCGAGGGCUCCUGCUGCGAGAGGAUGUGCAGCUCCUGGUGGCUGAGCUUCCGCGUGAGAGGCCCGAACCUGAAGCAGAGGUGGCGUCAAACUCCCGGGGGACCUGCAGGCAACCACAGUUAACACCUGUGGAAGUUGCUGGCCGGCGGAUGCCUAACCCCAGAUCUGGUGGGUCUGGGGUAGGUCCUGGGGCUCGGUGUUUCUAACAAGCAUCCCAGAUGAUUCUGAUGCAAAUAGAUGACACUGUAAUGUAUGAACGAGGCUUCUAGCGGUCUUUCACCAGGAGAGUUGCUCAGGGUCUCCCUCAUAGCAUAUGUACAAGAAAGGGAUGGCUGGAGUGCAGUGGCAUGUCUCAGCUCACUGCCACCUCUGACUCCCUGGUUCAAGUGAUUCUCCUGCCUCAGCCUCCCUAGUAGUUUGGAUUACAGUGAACAUGAACUGUGCACCUACUCUGUCUGACUGGAUUCAGCCAAUAGGAACAAAACAGUGAACAAGGGAAGCAGGACCCUGCUCUCAUGGACUGUUCACUCUAGUAAGAGAAACAAAUAAUGAGCAAGUAAAUAAAGUCAUCGCAAAGAGGGAUGCACCAUGAAGAGCAGGAAACGGCAAUGGAAUAGCGAGUGGCUUGGUACCCCUUCCUGAAGCCAUCAGCGGCAUAUGGAAAUACACAGAACGACUUCAGAACCACGGCAUUCUCAGGCCAUGUGAAUCUCCCUGGAACACUCUGCUCCUGCCAGUGUGGAAGCCAACAACAAAACCUCAUAUGCCAGGAGCACAUGACUACGGACCAGUACAGGAUUUGCAAGCUAUCAGUGAGGCCACAGUGCCUAUUCCUCCAGUAGUGCCAAACCCUACACUCUAAUAACUAAUUCCAGCAAGUGCAGCCUGGUUUACUGAACUAGAUCCAAAAUAUGUCUUUUUCUCUCUCUGUCUAGAACCAAUAAACCAACCAUUAAUUGCCUUCCA